CAAAACUGUAAGGUUAGAGUUUGAAGAGUUACCAAAAAAAAGAUAGCGCUACUCUCUCUUUCUCUCUGGCACCAUUAUCGAGGCUCCUCCGCUGAUUAAUUUUUCCGACGCCGGUGAAGCUUUUGCUUGCCGGCGUCGGGAUUCCAGCUUCCUUUCACCGCUGCUUCACAUCUUUUCUUUCUUUGUUUGUUCUCCUUUGAAAUCAUUCUCCAUCAUUUUUUCUCUGUUUAACCUCUAUCAAACCUCUUUAAACGUUUUGUACCACCUCACUUCGCUUCUCAGCCGAUCUUCAUCAUCAAGUGAAGAAGAAAAGAUGAGUUAUCUGGCAAAUCCUUAUCUCCAUUUCUUCCUCGUAGCCCUCGCUUCAGAUCUGAACCCUUGGAGCUUUGUCUCAGUUUCGGAUCACGGCCAGCGACUGUUCCCGCCGAUCUUCCAAUCACCGGAGAUGUUGCAGUCACCGCAAUUGUCUUCGCAAGCUUCAGAUUGCCGCCUCUCCCCUUUCCUGUCUUGGCAUUCCAAAGAGAAACUAGGGUUUUUCCCAGUGGACCUACUUUCUUCUUUUGGCCCAACCCUAUUUAGAAGGCCCAAGCCCAUCAAUUGGAUUAACUAUCUUAAGACAAAAAAAUUCAGGUCUGUUUCCUUUAUUUCUAUGUUAAAUCCAAGACAUAACUUGUGUCGAUCUUCUCUAAUCCGUGGUUAUGGACUCCAUGUGAGAGAGUUAUCACCAUUGUUGUCUUGACUUUGCAUAUAUUGUGGGAUAUUCCUGGUUUUAGUUGUAUUUAGGGGCUUAUGGUAUGUUUACAAAGGCUUGAAGAACCUUGAUCGAAAUAUCUCGAACCGAUUGUGCCGAAGUGUUUUUUGUGGCUUUCGACCACUUGUGCUUAUCGACCAUUAUGCUCCAAUUAGCUCAUCGAGCGUCGCUCUCAAGCAGCGUACCUUCACCAUCAUCUCCAUCAUCAAGUUCCUAAACGUUAAAGUUCUUAUUGCAUUUUAUUGGAGAUGUCUAAACCUUUCGCUUUGGGUUUCAAAGCUAUCAUCAAUCGACUAUAGCACCAUAGUCUCCCGAAUCCUUGUUAUUGUGCUACCUUGGUUAGUGCAGCUCUCUAUGUUGAGAAACUUAUCAUUGAUUCCUUCGUUAACGUCUCAGGGUCCUAUGACCAUGACUAAUCUGGCGUCCUUCGAAUCCUUCGAGGAUGCUUUCUCGAUUCACCGUGAUCUCACUUGUUUCAAUGCGCUUCCAAGCUAUGGUUUCAAAGCUCUCAUGGAUUUAAAAUCGAUGUAUCGUAUCUUUCAUUUUAUGACAUUGGGGAAUGUUAGUGUCUUAAACUUUGGUUUUCUUGAACCUCUCUUUUUGUAUUUGCUUUUGUGAUGGAAUGAAUACAAAUUGUUUGACAAAAAAAAAAUGAGUUUUAAGAGUUAG